GACGAACGCUGGCGGCGUGCUUAACACAUGCAAGUCGAACGGAAAGGCCUUUUCGGAGGUACUCGAGUGGCGAACGGGUGAGUAACACGUGGGUGAUCUGCCCUGCACUCUGGGAUAAGCCUGGGAAACUGGGUCUAAUACCGGAUAGGACCGCACUUUAGUGUGUGUGGUGGAAAGUUUUUUCGGUGUAGGAUGAGCCCGCGGCCUAUCAGCUUGUUGGUGGGGUAAUGGCCUACCAAGGCGGCGACGGGUAGCCGGACUGAGAGGUUGGUCGGCCACAUUGGGACUGAGAUACGGCCCAGGCUCCUACGGGAGGCAGCAGUGGGGAAUAUUGCACAGUGGGCGCAAGCCUGAUGCAGCGACGCCGCGUGGGGGAUGACGGCCUUCGGGUUGUAAACUCCUUUCGCCAGGGACGAAGCGUUUUGUGACGGUACCUGGAGAAGAAGCACCGGCUAACUACGUG
rnacentral:rRNA from 1 species